AUACGAACAAAGCCGGAAGUUGGAUAAAUUACAGUUUGAAAUCGUGGCGCUUGGCGUAAAGUCCAGAGAAAAAAUAUAUGAAAAACUCGAUUCUCUGGGAGAUGGUUAGACUAUACCAACGACACGAUAGUUGCCAUCAAGAAGGUGGUGAUUAAAGAUACCAUUCUGGUGCUGACUCCAGCCAACAUCAAAGGCUUCAUAGUGAUGACUCUACUGGGCCUGGAGUACAUGCACCACACACUGUCAUACAAUACACACCUUCUCAUAGGUGCUUGUGUCAGUAAACGCUGUGUACGAUCUGAAACCCAAUAACCUGCUGCUGGAUAAGAAUGGGCUGCUGAAGCUGUCUGAUUUUUGUUUGAGUAAAACUCUCGGCAGCCCUACAGUCUACACUCACCAGGUGGCGUGGUUCUCCAGAGUUGUUCAGUGCCAGGAUGCAUGGGGUGGGCGUCGACAUGUGGGCCAUGGACUGCGUCCUUGCGGAGCUUCCGCAGCCUCUGAGGGUGAGGUACUUUACGAACAGCCCCAGCUGCCCCAGCACAACUCCUCAUCUGAGCCUCUCAUAGAGAAUCAAGAGGAAACGAGAUGGUCUGGAGACAAGGAAUGAACAACACAGACACACACGCACAUCUCAGCAUUGGAAUCAAUAGCACAGACAUUAUUAUUCCAUCAUACACCAGAGAUAGAAGGUUAAAUACCUCCUUGACAUGUUUGUGUUUGACCAUGAUAUUAAUAAAAACAUGGUAAAUAUUA